GACGAACGCUGGCGGCGUGCUUAACACAUGCAAGUCGAACGGAAAGGCCCUGCUUGCAGGGUACUCGAGUGGCGAAAGGGUGAGUAACACGUGGGUGAUCUGCCCUGCACUUCGGGAUAAGCCUGGGAAACUGGGUCUAAUACCGGAUAGGGGCCAUUUUUCGGGUGGUGGUUGGAAAGUUUUUUCGGUGUGGGAUGGGCUGGCGGCCUAUCAGCUUGUUGGUGGGGUAAUGGCCUACCAAGGCGGCGACGGGUAGCCGGCCUGGGAGGGUGGACGGCCACAUUGGGGCUGGGAGACGGCCCAGACGCCUACGGGAGGCAGCAGGGGGGAAUAUUGCACAAUGGGCGCGAGCCUGAUGCAGCGACGCCGCGUGGGGGAUGACGGCCUUCGGGUUGUAAACUCCUUUCGCUAGGGACGAAGCUUUUUGUGACGGUACCUAGAUAAGAAGCACCGGCUAACUACGUG
rnacentral:rRNA from 1 species